AGCUGUGAUUAAAACUUGCUUUCUGAUUAUGGUAGAGACCAUAUAUGAAGGAUAUUCAUACUACCAAGAUCUCUGAGCUUGAAAGAUAAUGACAUGAAAUUGUUCCUGGGUUAAAACUUUUAACAAUCAAGUGUUAUGAUUAUCUUUAAAACUGAAGUGUCGGUGGUUAAUGGCAUCAUCAUGAUCAUUGCCCAGUCUUUAAAUUUAGUUGAUAUGAUAUGUAAUCAACUAUCUUUCAAUUCCAUUGAAGUUUGCAAUUAAAUAAAUCAACCAACAAAUUUAAGUUCAUUGAAUUGUAAUUUUGCACAUAUCUUGUAAACUGAAAGUGUUGUUUCUUUUCAUGACUGGCUUUGAGAAAAAUUGUGAUUCAAACAUUUCAUGAAUAGUUUUAGAAAAUGAUAUAGGGUGCUUCUUUAUGAUAAAAAAAGAAGAAAUUAAUUGAAACACACUUAAGCUAGGUUUCAGCAACCAAAAUUUUGUCUUCUAUUAGGGCAGCCUAAGGUCAAGACUACAUAGCCAAUUCAUGAAAUUACACAAAUCUAAUUGAGGAUUACAAGUUUAAUGAGAUGUUUAAUGAAAUUUUUUUGGUGAACUUAAAGAUUAAGUAUAUUUUGAAACUCUAAAAUAUAUAUUUUUCUUCAUAACAAUAUGAAAACAUGCAAAGAUAAUAUCCAAGUGAUGAUGAUAAAAAACUACUGAAUAUUCUGUGAUUUAUUAAAAAAAAAUCUACACAUUGAUCGCUGAACUUGGAUUGUUAUUCCUAUUGCAUUAU
rnacentral:sRNA from 1 species